CCUCCCCCCCCCCCCUCUGAAUCUCGUGCUCGCGCCACCGCUACUGCUGGUGCUCGCCCACUGCCUCCCGUCGAGCAGGGCUGCCAUCGCCAAGGUCCUCCCCCCUCUCGGGCAGCCUCUUCGCCAAGGCCGCUACCAGCUGCGCCGUCCGUCUUCGCGCUGGCGGCCGGAGGCCUCGCAGCACGACGGGACCGGCAGAGGCGCCCUCCUCUAUCUCUUCACACCACUGGUUUAGAUCCCCUUUUCUCUUGCUUGUUUUUUUCUGAUUCAUUCAUGGGCGAUGCAACUUGAGGUCAAGAGAAGGAUGGGAUGAGGAAAUAAGAAGUUAUAGUAAUCUUUUUCUUCUUUGCUCAUGAAGGUUCCCCGAUAUGGUUACAAAUUAUUAGCUAAUUUGGCAACUGCAGCUUCGUUAUUAUUCUAUUGUUCCAAAGGGUCAGUAUUGACCAUCUUUCUUUGUUUUUGAAACGGAUAUGCAUGAGUUGCGGCUUAUCCACACUGAUCUGAAGUCAGAAAACAUACUUCUUGUUUCUUCUGAGUAUAUAAAAGUUCCAAGUUCAAAGUACUUGUUCUCACCCAUUUUUAGUGAUCAUAUGCUAUUUCAUCAAUAGGCUUACUGUAUUAGCAGUUUUCUUGAAUGAUUGCUUGGGGUUGUACAGAAGAGUUCCCAAGAUGAGAUGCUAUGUUCUGUUACACUUCACAUUUAACACUGUUUUCUCCUUCUAUCAAUCCCUCUAGCCUUUUGUAGUACUUUUUCCAAGUUUUUAACCUUUGCUAAAUAGUAAAUACUAAACCUACAUAUAUUGUGCAGCAAUAUAGAACAGAAAUGUAAUGUUUUGGGAAAUAAGAGUGAGGUUCUGCCUUUUCUUCUUUCUUUUGUGAAACUUUUUAUUUGUUUUAUAUCCAGAAAAGCCGGCAGAGCAUGAUAUGCUAUGUUAUUUUUCUUCCUUAUCAGGUUGAUGAACUCUACUCACUUGACCUGGAUCUGCUCAGUGAUCUACAAUUCUUUCGAUGAACCUGUGGAUUGGCUUGCUUCCUUCUGGUGUGAGAUUGCGACUUAGGAAAUAGGACAUUCUCCUAGGAUAUAAUAAUCUAAUAUUCUUUUGGGCUCUUUUGUUCAGAAUGAAUUGAUCUAACUACUUCUGGUUGAACUUAGUUGAUCCUAAUGUUGUGCUAUUCUAGUUGCUAAUGUAAAAAUGGCAUUGUGGCCUUUAUUAGGCACGUGUGGCUUGUAUGCCCUAGUAAUGUAGAAGCACUAUCUAUAUGGACCUAUGCUGGAGGGUUAUGUAUUCUGGAAUAACAAUUGGAUCAUACAUAUAUAUUGUACGAGAUAUUGAUCAUU